rnacentral:rRNA from 1 species
AUUGAACGCUGGCGGCAUGCCUUACACAUGCAAGUCGAACGGUAACGGGCCUUCGGGUGCCGACGCGUGGCGAACGGGUGGGUAAUAAACCGGAACGUGCCCGAUCGUGGGGGAUGACGUGGCGAAAGCAUUGCUGAUACCGCAUACGAUCUACGGAUCAAAGCAGGGGACCGCGAGGGCUGGUGCGGACGGAGGGGGCGAUGGCCGAUUAGGUAGUUGGUGGGGUUAAGGCUUACCAAGCCGACGAUCUGUAUCUGGUCUGAGAGGAUGAUCAGCCACAUUGGGACUUAGACACGGCCCAGACUCCUGAGGGAGGCAGCAGUGGGGAAUUUUGGACAAUGGGCGCAAGCCUUAUCCAGCCAUGCCGCGUGCAGGAUGAAGGCCUUCGGGUUGUAAACUGCUUUUGUACGGAACGAAAAGCCUUCUUUUAAUACAGGAGGGUCAUGACGGUACCGUAAGAAUAAGCACCGGCUAACUACGUG